GUAGGAAUAGAGAGAAAAAGAUAGAAAACCACAGACUCUAUCUCCUUCCUUCCAAAAUAUUGUGACCACACAUAAUAUAGGCUGAAGUGUCCCUCUUGAGGCCAGCAGGAUAAUGCCACAAGGUGUGGAUUACUUUCCUUUUGUCUUGGGGGUGUCUGAGAUUGUUCCUGUCCUCAGGGAACUGAGACCCUCUUUGGAGAGAUACACAUAAAUAGCCUGGACUAAGACAUGGUGGUAAGUGUAACAGAAGAGCUUAAAAUGGAUAUCCUGAUAAGUACAGCAUCUUUGUUGACAGAAUUGAAACAAACAUUCUCAUCGUAUCAAAGGGUGGUGGCACACCCAUAAUCUCAGCUACCUGGGAGGCUGAGACAGGUGGGUCAUAAAUUCUAGCUCAAUUUGGGAUACUUAGCAAGAUUCUGUCUUA
rnacentral:lncRNA from 1 species